rnacentral:rRNA from 1 species
UACGGGGGGGGCAAGCGUUGUUCGGAAUUACUGGGCGUAAAGGGCUCGUAGGCGGCCAACUAAGUCAGACGUGAAAUCCCUCAGCUUAACUGGGGAACUGCGUCUGAUACUGGAUGGCUUGAGUUCGGGAGAGGGAUGCGGAAUUCCAGGUGUAGCGGUGAAAUGCGUAGAUAUUGGGAGGAACACCAGUGGCGAAGGUGGCUCACUGGACCGGAACUGACGCUGAGGUGCGAAAGCGUGGGGAGCAAACAGG